GAUGAACGCUGGCGGCGUGCCUAAUACAUGCAAGUCGAGCGAACGGACGAGAAGCUUGCUUCUCUGAUGUUAGCGGCGGACGGGUGAGUAACACGUGGAUAACCUACCUAUAAGACUGGGAUAACUUCGGGAAACCGUAGCUAAUACCGGAUAAUAUUUUGAACCGCAUGGUUCAAAAGUGAAAGACGGUCUUGCUGUCACUUAUAGAUGGAUCCGCGCUGCAUUAGCUAGUUGGUAAGGUAACGGCUUACCAAGGCAACGAUGCAUAGCCGACCUGAGAGGGUGAUCGGCCACACUGGAACUGAGACACGGUCCAGACUCCUACGGGAGGCAGCAGUAGGGAAUCUUCCGCAAUGGGCGAAAGCCUGACGGAGCAACGCCGCGUGAGUGAUGAAGGUCUUCGGAUCGUAAAACUCUGUUAUUAGGGAAGAACAUAUGUAUAAGUAACUGUGCACAUCUUGACGGUACCUAAUCAGAAAGCCACGGCUAACUACGUG
rnacentral:rRNA from 1 species